UAACACAUGCAAUUCAAACGGCAGCGGGGGAUAGCUGGCUAUCCUGCCGGCGAGUGGCGGACGGGUGAGUAAUGCAUGGGGAGCUGCCCAAUCGAGGGGGAUAACAACUGGAAACGGUUGCUAAUACCGCAUACGCCCUGCGGGGAAAAGGUGGGGACCUUCGGGCCUACCGCGAUUGGAUGCACCCUUGUGGGAUUAGCUAGUUGGUGAGGUAACGGCUCACCAAGGCGACAAUCUCUAGCUGGUCUGAAAGGAUGACCAGCCACACUGGAACUGAAACACGGUCCAAACUCCUACGGGAGGCAGCAUUGGGGAAUAUUGCACAAUGGGGGAAACCCUGAUGCACCCUUGCCGCGUGUGUGAAAAAGGCCUUCGGGUUGUAAAGCACUUUCAGUGGGGAGGAAGGGCUGAUGACUAAUAUUCAUCAGCAUUGACGUUACCCACAAAAAAAGCACCGGCUAACUCCGUG
rnacentral:rRNA from 1 species